rnacentral:rRNA from 1 species
UGGGGAAUAUUGGGCAAUGGGCGAAAGCCUGACCCAGCGACGCCGCGUGGGGGAAGAAGUCUUUCGGGAUGUAAACCCUUGUUGUACGGGACGAAACGAAUGACGGUACCGUACGAGGAAGCCCCGGCAAACUACGUGCCAGCAGCCGCGGUAAUACGUAGGGGGCGAGCGUUGUCCGGAAUUACUGGGCGUAAAGCGCACGUAGGCGGGCUGUCAAGUCGGCCGUGAAAGGCACUGGCUCAACCGGUGUUUGUCGGUCGAUACUGGCGGUCUGGAGUAUGGGAGAGGGAACUGGAAUUCCCGGUGUAGCGGUGAAUGCGUAGAUAUCGGGAGGAACACCAGUGGCGAAGGCGGGUUCCUGGCCCAUUACCGACGCUGAGGUGCGAAAGCCGGGGGAGCGAACGG